GUACAUGCUUACAACAUAGCGUUAAUGUAUUGGAUCCCAUUAGAACUCUGUAGUUAGGCACGCUCGGGAUAGAGUAGUAUUAAUUUUGUUUUAGGAUAAAUCCGUAAGUGCGGACA
rnacentral:rRNA from 1 species